GAAAUGCGAUACUUGGUGUGAAUUGCAGAAUCCCACGAACCAUCGAGUCUUUGAACGCAAGUUGCGCCUGAAGCCAUUAGGUUGAGGGCACGUCUGCCUGGGCGUCUCACGUUGUGUCGCCCGCGCCCCCUCCCCCCCCCACGAAGGGAGGAAGAAGGGCUGUGGGCGGAUGUUGGCCCCCCGCGCGCGCCCGCUCGCGGUCAUUCCAAAAGAGAGUCCCUCGCGACAGACGAUGCGUCGCGAUGAGUGGUGGUUGACAAACCGUUACGUCACCUCGCGCGCGUGCAGUCUGUCUCAGGAGGCCAGUCGUGACCCUAUUGUGCCGCCGCCAAGGCGCUCCGAUCACGACCCCAGGUCAGGCAGGAUUACCCGCUGAGUUUAA
rnacentral:misc_RNA from 1 species